GUGCAACGCGGCUAUGGAGCACUUAAUCGAUAGCUAUAAAGAUUAAUCUAAUCAGCACUGCGUAUUUCACGGCGUUUUAUAGACUUUGUUUAUAAUAUCAGCUCAAUCGGUUUCUCAUUUGCGAGUUACAGGAUGUUCACUAUGGAAGUCAACAAAGAGGAAAUUCGGUACAAUUUACACUUUUUCUUUUAUAAAGGCGAAAAUGCAAACUAGGCCGCUGAAAUUGUGGAUGGUGAUGAAUGGUGCCGAUACUGUAACAUGCAAUACACAAAAUUCUGAUGUCUGCAGUCAACAAAUGGACCGUUUGAAGCUAGCGAUUGACCAGAAACGUCCAGAAUCGACCAACAGAGGAGCUGUUUUGUUCCAUCUGGACAACGCAAGGCCACAAAACCACGGGAUCUUGACUAGGAAGUUUUAAUGCAUCCACCAUAUAAUCCGGACCUGGCUCCAAGUGAUUACCACCUUUUUCUCGCAUUGCAAAACAUCCUGAGGGAUAAGAAUUUGGGAUCAAGAGAAGAUUGUAAAAAUCUA